rnacentral:rRNA from 1 species
UGCCAGCCGCCGCGGUAAUACGAGGGGUGCAAGCGUUAUUCGGAAUUACUGGGCGUAAAGGGUGUGUAGACGGCCUUUUAAGUCAAUUGUUAAAUUUCCCGGCUCAACCGGGAGCAAGCAGUUGAAACUGAUAGGCUUGAGUAUUGGAGGGGGUGGUGGAAUUCCCGGUGUAGAGGUGAAAUUCGUAGAUAUCGGGAGGAAUACCGGUGGCGAGGGCGACCACCUGGCCAAAUACUGACGCUGAGGUGCGAAAGCGUGGGGAGCAAACAGGAUUAGAUA